AGAGUUUGAUCAUGGCUCAGGAUGAACGCUAGCUACAGGCUUAACACAUGCAAGUCGAGGGGAAACGAUAUUGGAAGCUUGCUUCCGAUAGGCGUCGACCGGCGCACGGGUGAGUAACGCGUAUCCAACCUGCCCACCACUUGGGGAUAACCUUGCGAAAGUAAGACUAAUACCCAAUGAUAUCUCUAGAAGACAUCUGAAAGAGAUUAAAGAUUUAUCGGUGAUGGAUGGGGAUGCGUCUGAUUAGCUUGUUGGCGGGGUAACGGCCACCAAGGCGACGAUCAGUAGGGGUUCUGAGAGGAUGAACGGCCACACUGGAACUGAGACACGGUCCAGACUCCUACGGGAGGCA
rnacentral:rRNA from 1 species